rnacentral:rRNA from 1 species
GAUGAACGCUAGCGACAGGCCUAACACAUGCAAGUCGAGGGGUAACAGGGGCUUCGGCCCGCUGACGACCGGCGCACGGGUGAGUAACGCGUAUGCAACCUACCUGUAACAGGGGGAUAGCUCCCUGAAAGGGGAAUUAACACCGCAUAAGACUACGCUACUGCAUGGUAGGGUGGUAAAAUAUUUAUAGGUUACAGAUGGGCAUGCGUGACAUUAGCUAGUUGGCGGGGUAGCGGCCCACCAAGGCAACGAUGUCUAGGGGUUCUGAGAGGAAGGUCCCCCACACUGGUACUGAGACACGGACCAGACUCCUACGGGAGGCAGCAGUGAGGAAUAUUGGUCAAUGGGCGCAAGCCUGAACCAGCCAUGUCGCGUGCAGGAAGACUGCCCUAUGGGUUGUAAACUGCUUUUUUACGGGAAGAAAACCAGCUACGCGUAGUUGUUUGCCGGUACCGUAGGAAUAAGCGUCGGCUAACUCCGUG